ACUUGCACCGCCAUCGUUGGUGGUGCUUGAGACAGCUUUCAUACUGCUUGUGGCAUCAAUGCCGGCUGCAUCCGAACUAGCAACC
rnacentral:tRNA from 1 species